UGCACCUCACCAUAACCACCAGCAUCAGCCCCAAUAUGACCAUUGAAGUCCCCUCCAAUAACUAACUUCUCAGAUUGGGGAAUACUACUCACCAGGUCAUCCAAGUCCUCCCAAAAGCGCCUCUUAGCCUCUAUGUCUAAACCCCGCUUGCGGCGCGUAAGCGCUGAUGACGUUGAGGACGCAACGCCCAAUAACCAACUUAAUAGACGUUAAUCUAUCAUUCACUCUCCUAACCUCGACCACGGACUCCCUUAGAUCCCUA
rnacentral:lncRNA from 1 species